rnacentral:rRNA from 1 species
AGCGAACGCUGGCGGCAGGCUUAACACAUGCAAGUCGAACGGUCCUUCGGGAUAGUGGCGGACGGGUGAGUAACACGUGGGAACGUACCCUUAGGUUCGGAACAACACAGGGUAACUUGUGCUAAUACCGGAUAAACCCUUCGGGGGAAAGAUUUAUCGCCUUUGGAGCGGCCCGCGUCUGAUUAGCUUGUUGGUGAGGUAAUGGCUCACCAAGGCUACGAUCAGUAGCUGGUCUGAGAGGAUGGCCAGCCACACUGGGACUGAGACACGGCCCAGACUCCUACGGGAGGCAGCAGUGGGGAAUCUUGCGCAAUGGGCGAAAGCCUGACGCAGCCAUGCCGCGUGGAUGAUGAAGGUCUUAGGAUUGUAAAAUCCUUUCACCGGGGACGAUAAUGACGGUACCCGGAGAAGAAGCCCCGGCUAACUUCGCGCCAGCCGCCGCGGUAA